GUGCUCACUUUGGCAGCACAUAUGGUAAAAUUGGAACGAUACAGAGAAGGUUACCGUGGCCCCUGCACAAGGAUGAGACACAAAUUCGUGAAGUGUUCCAUAUUUUU
ensembl:snRNA U6 U6 spliceosomal RNA